UACGAAGGGGGCUAGCGUUGCUCGGAAUUACUGGGCGUAAAGCGCACGUAGGCGGCUUUCUAAGUCGGGGGUGAAAUCCUGGAGCUCAACUCCAGAACUGCCUUCGAUACUGGAGAGCUUGAGUCCGGGAGAGGUGAGUGGAACUGCGAGUGUAGAGGUGAAAUUCGUAGAUAUUCGGAAGAACACCAGUGGCGAAGGCGACUCACUGGACACGUAUUGACGCUGAGGUGACGAAAGCGUGGGGAGCAAACAGG
rnacentral:rRNA from 1 species